ACGGAAGGCAGCAGUGGGGAAUAUUGCACAAUGGGGGAAACCCUGAUGCAGCAACGCCGCGUGAAGGAAGACGGUCUUCGGAUCGUAAACUUCUGUUCUUAGUGAAGAUAAUGACGGUAGCUAAGGAGCAAGCCACGGCUAACUAUGUGCCAGCAGCCGCGGUAAUACGUAGGUGGCAAGCGUUGUCCGGAUUUACUGGGUGUAAAGGGAGCGCAGGCGGGAAAUCAAGUUGGAUGUGAAAUGUCGGGGCUUAACCCCGGAACUGCAUCCAAAACUGAUUUUCUUGAGUGAAGUAGAGGUAGGCGGAAUUCCGAGUGUAGCGGUGAAAUGCGUAGAUAUUCGGAGGAACACCAGUGGCGAAGGCGGCCUACUGGGCUUUAACUGACGCUGAGGCACGAAAGCAUGGGUAGCAAACAGGAUUAGAUACCCUGGUA
rnacentral:rRNA from 1 species